rnacentral:rRNA from 1 species
CGUACGGGAGACUGCAGCGGUCAAUCAUGCCCAAUGGGUGAAAGCCUGAUGCACACAUGUCGCAGGUGUGAUGAAGGCCUUGUUAGUGUAAAGCACUUUCAGGGGGAUGGAAAGAACAGUUGGUAUUCCUUGUUAGCGGUGAGGAUAACCACGGAAGAUGGACCCAUUAAUUCCGUGCCAGCAGCCGCGGUAAUACGGAAGGUCCCCAGUAAAUCGGAAUUCCAUCGGUAAAGCGCCAAUAUGUACGCAUUUCACCGGUCCAGAAAGCCCCGGGCUCAAUCUGGGAUAUGCAUGUAUAAUAGUUUGGAUUGAGUACGAGAGAGGGGGCUUCAAGAUUUAACGUAGGAGUUAAUAAACCACAUACAGGAAGGAAACGCCCAGUGAUUGGCGGCCCCAUGUGCAUCUUCUGUCGUAGAGGGGCGAAAGGCAGGGGAGCAAACAGGAUUUGAUACUCAGGUAGUCCACAUUUUAUUCGUCCUUUAAAAAAGAGUGUUGAAACCGAUUUGUUAGUUGCCCAGAUAACGCAAUAAGUAGUCAGGCUGGGGAGCACGGCGGAAAAUUCCACACUGAACGAACUGUAGGA